AGUUUGAUCCUGGCUCAGGAUGAACGCUAGCUACAGGCUUAACACAUGCAAGUCGAGGGGCAUCAGUUUGGUUUGCUUGCAAACCAAAGCUGGCGACCGGCGCACGGGUGAGUAACACGUAUCCAACCUGCCUCAUACUCGGGGAUAGCCUUUCGAAAGAAAGAUUAAUAUCCGAUAGCAUAUAUUUCCCGCAUGGGUUUUAUAUUAAAGAAAUUCGGUAUGAGAUGGGGAUGCGUUCCAUUAGUUUGUUGGGGGGGUAACGGCCCACCAAGACUACGAUGGAUAGGGGUUCUGAGAGGAAGGUCCCCCACAUUGGAACUGAGACACGGUCCAAACUCCUACGGGAGGCAGCAGUGAGGAAUAUUGGUCAAUGGACGCGAGUCUGAACCAGCCAAGUAGCGUGAAGGAUGACUGCCCUAUGGGUUGUAAACUUCUUUUAUAUGGGAAUAAAGUGGUCCACGUGUGGAUUUUUGUAUGUACCAUAUGAAUAAGGAUCGGCUAACUCCGUGCCAGCAGCCGCGGUAAUACGGAGGAUCCGAGCGUUAUCCGGAUUUAUUGGGUUUAAAGGGAGCGUAGGCGGAUUGUUAAGUCAGUUGUGAAAGUUUGCGGCUCAACCGUAAAAUUGCAGUUGAUACUGGCAGUCUUGAGUGCAGUAGAGGUGGGCGGAAUUCGUGGUGUAGCGGUGAAAUGCUUAGGUAUCACGAAGAACUCCGAUUGCGAAGGCAGCUCACUGGAGUGUAACUGACGCUGAUGCUCGAAAGUGUGGGUAUCAAACAGGAUUAGAUACCCUGGUAGUCCACACAGUAAACGAUGAAUACUCGCUGUUUGCGAUAUACAGUAAGCGGCCAAGCGAAAGCAUUAAGUAUUCCACCUGGGGAGUACGCCGGCAACGGUGAAACUCAAAGGAAUUGACGGGGGCCCGCACAAGCGGAGGAACAUGUGGUUUAAUUCGAUGAUACGCGAGGAACCUUACCCGGGCUUAAAUUGCAAAUGAAUUAUGGGGAAACCCAUACGCCGCAAGGCAUUUGUGAAGGUGCUGCAUGGUUGUCGUCAGCUCGUGCCGUGAGGUGUCGGCUUAAGUGCCAUAACGAGCGCAACCCUUAUCUUCAGUUACUAACAGGUCAUGCUGAGGACUCUGGAGAGACUGCCGUCGUAAGAUGUGAGGAAGGUGG
rnacentral:rRNA from 1 species